rnacentral:rRNA from 1 species
AGUGAACGCUGGCGGCGUGCCUAAUACAUGCAAGUCGAACGGAAUUUAAAAGAGCUUGCUCUUUUAAAUUUAGUGGCGCACGGGUGAGUAAUAUAUAGCUAAUCUGCCCCUUGCUGGAGGACAACAGUUAGAAAUGACUGCUAAUACUCCAUACUCCUUUUUACCAUAAGAUAAAUCGGGAAAGAAUUUCGGCAAGGGAUGAGACUAUAUCGUAUCAGCUAGUCGGUGGGGUAACGGCCUACCGAGGCUAUGACGCGUAACUGGUCUGAGAGGAUGAUCAGUCACAUUGGAACUGAGACACGGUCCAAACUCCUACGGGAGGCAGCAGUAGGGAAUAUUGCGCAAUGGGGGAAACCCUGACGCAGCAACGCCGCGUGGAGGAUGACACUUUUCGGAGCGUAAACUCCUUUUGUUAGGGAAG